rnacentral:rRNA from 1 species
AUUGAACGCUGGAGGCGUGCUUAACACAUGCAAGUCGUGCGAGAAAGGGACUUCGGUCCUGAGUAGAGCGGCGCACGGGUGAGUAACGCGUGGGUAAUCUCCCUUAGUGAUCGGGAUAACAGCGGGAAACUGCUGCUAAUACCGGAUAGUCUUCGUGUUUAACUUCACGGGGUAAAGGUGGCCUCUGCAUGCAAGCUACCACAUUAAGAUGAGCCCGCGUCUCAUUAGCUAGUCGGUAGGGUAAUGGCCUACCGAGGCUACGAUGAGUAGCUGGUCUGAGAGGAUGACCAGCCACACUGGGACUGGAACACGGCCCAGACUCCUACGGGAGGCAGCAGUGGGGAAUAUUGCGCAAUGGGCGAAAGCCUGACGCAGCGACGCCUCGUGAGGGAUGAAGGUCUUCGGAUCGUAAACCUCUGUCAAGAGGGAAGAAACCUUUAGGUUCGAACAGGGCCUGAAGCUGACGGUACCUCUAAAGGAAGCACCGGCUAACUCCGUGCCAGCCGCCGCCGUAA